UAGUCCACGCCCUAAACGAUGUACACUAGUUGUUGUGAGGCUAGACCUUGCAGUAAUGCAGUUAACACAUUAAGUGUACCGCCUGGGGAGUACGGUCGCAAGAUUAAAACUCAAAGGAAUAGACGGGGACCCGCACAAGCGGUGGAGCAUGUGGUUUAAUUCGACGAUACGCGAAGAACCUUACCUGGACUUGACAUAGAAAGAAUAACGCAGAGAUGUGAUAGUGCUAGCUUGCUAGAACUUUCAUACAGGUGCUGCACGGCUGUCGUCAGCUCGUGUCGUGAGAUGUUGGGUUAAGUCCCGCAACGAGCGCAACCCUCGUCUUUAGUUGCCAUCAUUAAGUUGGGCACUUUAAAGAGACUGCCGGUGACAAACCGGAGGAAGGUAAGGAUGACGUCAAGUCAGCAUGCCCCUUAUGCUCUGGGCUACACACGUGCUACAAUGGCCGUGACAAAGAGUUGCUACUUUGUGAAAACAAGCUAAUCUCAUAAACGCGG
rnacentral:rRNA from 1 species